UUGCUUUGGCAGCACAUAUACUAAAAUUGGAACGAUACACAGAAGAUCAGCAUGGCCCCUGCAUAAGGAUGACAUGCA
ensembl:snRNA U6 U6 spliceosomal RNA